rnacentral:snRNA from 1 species
ACACUGUUGCUGGUCAGGGGAGGUAUCAUGAUCAAGAAGGUGGUUCACCCAUGGAGAGGCCCAGCCAUUGCACUAUGGCAGGGCUGAUCUGUGCAAACUCCCCAAAUGUGGGAAUCUCAACUGCAUAAUUUGCAC